rnacentral:rRNA from 1 species
AACGAACGUUGGCGGCGUGGAUUAGGCAUGCAAGUCGAGCGAAUCCCCAGCAAUGGGGGGAAGCGGCGAAAGGGGCAGUAAGGCGUGGGUAACCUACCCCGGGGACUGGUAUAGCCCUUCGAGAGAAGGGGUAAUCCCGGGCGACGUGUCGAGGGGGCAUCCUUUUGACACCAAACGAGUUUCGCCCUGGGAGGGGCCCACGUGGUAUUAGCUAGUUGGUAGGGUAACGGCCUACCAAGGCGAAGAUGCCUAGCGGGUGUGAGAGCACGACCCGCGCCACUGGCACUGAGACACUGGCCAGACACCUACGGGUGGCUGCAGUCGAGGAUCUUCGGCAAUGGGCGCAAGCCUGACCGAGCGACGCCGCGUGGGCGAUGAAGGUCUUCGGGUUGUAAAGCCCUGUCGAGGGGGAGAAAAGGCAACUUGAUCUAUCCCUGGAGGAAGCACGGGCUAAGUUCGUGCCAGCAGCCGCAGUAACAC